rnacentral:lncRNA from 1 species
CCUUGUCUUGAAAGACUAUUCCAUCUUAAUCAGAAACGGGAUUUGCGUGUGUCAGUGCUCUUCGCCCCUAAGUUGGAGACCUUAGGCUGUACCAACUCCACCAAGCUCGUCUUUGGUUCUGCAAAUAUUAAGGUAACUCCAGCCUUCUGUGUGCUAUGUGCACACACGUUUUUAGCAUAUAAUUUGCACAUGUAUAUUGUCUAAUGUUGGCUUUCGUCUUUGAUGAAGGGAUCGCGCACAAUCAAGUGUUUGGCUCUCAGUAUGCCCACUCUUAGUUUGGAUAUGGUUAUUGGGUUGAUAAGAAGGUUUCCGUGCUUGGAGAAGUUGUACAUUCAGGUGAAUUAACUGUUCACUGACAAUAAUACCUUGUGUUUGGCUGCUCAUUUGAUCUACUUGCUUUGCUGAAGUUGUUGUUUGCUGAUGUUCUUUCCAGCGCGACACGUUAAGGAAGAACAAUAAUGCGUGGCAUCGUAAAUACCGCGAUCUUCUCAAAAGUCUUGACAUCCGUCUGAAAAUUAUGGUGUUGAAUUAUUAUUCCGGCAGUAAACCUGACGUUGAUUUUGUCACAUUCUUUGCCCUCAACGCUGAACAGCUAGAGUCGAUGACACUUGUGGUCCAGACCGACGAUAAGGACUUCUUGGCAAAACAGCCUCACGAGCUUCAGCUGGAGAAGAGGGCUUCAAGUGGUGCUCGGUUUCAUUUCACCAGGGAACGACGCUACGAAUUUGGAUACAAAUUAUCUUUUUGAGUGGUAGUUUUGAAAAUACUUCGUGUUUGGUCCAGUGAGAAGUUACUCUAUCCAACCAUCAAACCUUAUUUUAUGUUUUGUCCGAUAAGCUAUUGUGUUUGGAGUACUUUAGUUUGUAUUGUCUUUGAACAUAUUCAAACAAGCUAUUUAUUUAAAUGAUGUUUGCGGUUAUUACUUAUUAUUGUCUUAUCAUGAAUUCAUGAUACCUUGUUUAGAUAAAAUUAUUUGCAUGCUUGGCGCCUGGGUUACUGCAGGGUGGUCAGGUAGUUUUGUGGAAGAGUGGUUUUUCUAAACCUGGAUUGUAAUUGGGGCAUUUUAUGUCACGGCAAGCAUGUACUCCUCAAUAGCCCGAGACUAGUCUGCAUUUGUCUGCGCACCCAAGGUCACCACUCACCUCCAAGUCCUAAAGUAGGCAAUGCACUCCUCAAUGGAGGCUGGAUACCGGCUUUUUUUCUAUGUGAGGAGACUAGCUUCGAAGCUUACUGGAGAGCAUGUAAGGAGGAAGGCGAGCAGGCGCUGCCUUGUUAUCAAUUGUAAGCAAUGCAAGUGCCUUGUCAAUUGACUCAGGUGAGGCCCUGAGCAUCACUUGCUGACCUGAACUCUGUCUUGUAAUUAUAUUUACACUGUAUUCGUGACUCCAGAUGUGAUGUGAUGAUCUCAAUUCGUUUGUCAUACUGACAAGAGACAACGCUCGGUAGAUGAAGAAAUCAACGGUCAAGGAAGAGCAAUUUCUUGUGAUGAUUGAUCUCAUUCAUUCUGGUCAGUAGUUAUGUUAAAAAACAUGCUCAUGAUGCUAAUUUGAAAUACUGAUUGUAAUAGACUAAUUACGAUGAGCUGCUGCCAUCAGGAAUGAAAAUACAAUGAGCUGCUGCACCUCUGAAAAUGACUCAAAUGUUUCUCGAGAGUCUGCAGUUGUUGGUGGUGUUAGUCAGAAAGGAAAGGGUGGGCUAGCACGACGCAGCAGUUGAUCUCCAGACUCUUCAAGUUCAAGGACACUAUAUAUUAAUAUAUUUUCAUCUGAAGAAAUCAUCCUUUUGUUACUUCAUUUUGCUGCAUAUAUACUGAUUAUUCUUUUCUUAAACAGAAAACGAGGGAACGAUCAAUGAGAGGUUGAAGAGACUAUAUACCAAAUAGAACGAAAGCAUGCUUCUGAAUGUAAAUGCUACAGACAACAAUUACAUGAAUGAAAUGCUAGGGUCCAUUGUCUAAACGACUAAAAAGACAAUGCUUGUAUGUUGAUCUUCGGCAUGUUCCUUUAUGAUUUAUUGGACAGGACUGCUGAAGUUGGAGGAUAGAGCUACCUUUCAAGUUCGAGUGCAGAGAGUGAUGCAGGUGGCUUCGUCCGUGGCGGAUUGCUCGGCUUCUCGGCGAAGACUACUGAUCGUUGAUGCCGCUGGUGUUCAGCGCGGUUGAAGGUUGUUGCGCCGUGUCGUGGUUUAUCGUGAUCCAUGCAUUUUGGUUAGCUUCCUCACAGAGGUCUGCUGAGAUGAUUCUGUGGUGUGCUUUGUCCCCUAGUAUCUUGUUAAUUUGGCACUGAUAUUAGUGUUGUGUUAGUAGGGUUUUGCCCCGUGGUAGAUGUUUCGAUAGCGAGCAUCUGCAGCGAGUUUCCUACUAAUGCUCCAACUUGCCUAUCCCCUUUCCCGCAUCUUCUCUUUUUGUUAGUUGUAAUACCUGGAUGGAUGUACUGAAUAUUUCCGUUAAGCAAUUAAUGGAAAGGGGUGUGAAAAUGUUGAUCUCAGGCAGUCUACUGCGAAAUUCCAGCAACUUCAUAUCAUGGUGACUUGGUGAGGAUAUUCUCUUCAAAUUUUAGGUCUGGUUGUACAACUGGAUGAAGAUUGGACUUUUGUUCGGAGCAUGUAUAGAGAUGAUUUUGGCAGUCUCGAGCAUGAAGCCAUGAAUUAAUGUUUGAGGCCGAGAAGUCCGUCACUAACCAUGCAUGCAUUGCAUCUCCAUGACACCUGUUUUACUAUUCUCACGUGAAAAAUCAUAGUUUAAGGUUUAAAAAAAAUCUAAAAAAAUACACAUGAAGAUAGAGAUGCAUACUACAUCUAUAUAAAAUUUCCAGUUUGGUGUGGGCUGCACAUAAAAAAAAUGAUGGACUUUUUAUAGUGAAUAGUGCAUGUGCUAGAAGUAUAUGAACGUUUUUGUCCUGCUCACACGGAAGUGUUUUCCAUCAUGAAAUGUUAUAGAAAUGUAGCAUACAUCUCGUUCAUGUGUAUCUUUAUUCAGAAUCUUUUGAAACCUCAAAAUAUGAUUUUACGCACGUGAACAGUAAAACAGAUGCCAUGAAGCCUGAGCUCCAAACAACCACACUCUCUAUUAGUCAUUUCCAGAGAGCAUCUCGUGGAGACUACUUUCAUCUCACCCUCAAUUUUGACCUAUUCAGGCUAAAUUUUGGCGAGAUUGUUUUGUUGCCGAAGAUUAAGGAGGCCGAACGGAUACAACAGUUUAGACCUAUAUGCCUCCUUAAUGUCAGCUUCAAGAUUUCACCAAAGUAGCUACGAAUAGGUUAAACUUGAUAGCUGACCGUGUUGUCCGGCCAUCUCAAACGGCCUUCAUGCAAGGAAGGAAUAUACUAGAUGGUGUAAUAAUCCUGCAUGAGGCCGUCUACGAGAUGCACCGAAAAAACAUGAGUGAAGUGGUAUUCAAAAUUAGGUGAAUAGCUCCUGUGCGACAUCUUUCGUGGGAAUUGGAAGGAGUGAGACGUUGUUCGACGGAAUGGCUUUGGUGCGACACUUUUGAGCGAGUAAAUAGCCCAGACAUGACAUGGCCCUUAAGCUGAACUGAUGCCCUCAUUAGCUGUUAUGGGUUGGACCCACAACUUAUCCACGUAAGCGCGAGACCCAGCACUUGUCCAGUAAGCGCAGGACCCACCACUUCGCCCGUGCCCAUCCGCCCGCCGUCGGGACCCACCUCUUCACCCCUUCGCCCGUGCCCGUCCGCCCGCCGCCGCCAAUUGCUUCCCCUUUCCCCGUUCUUCCUCUUCUCCGGCGACCUAGUCCAGAUGUCCGCCUCCUCUGCCACGCACUCAAAAUGGCGUCAGUAUGGUCUAGUGCCGCUCACAAGGUGCCCGUCAUGCCCACGCCUAGAGCCUCUAAAACGGUGGGUCAAUAGGACUGAUGAGAAUGGAAAUCUUGGACGGGAAUUUGUGAAGUGCUUGAGCAAAUCAAUGGCAGGAAGGGAUGGCAAGGUUAGAUCUCAGUCCUUAGCCCGUACUUUCACUGUCGUUUGCUCCGAUUUCUCCAUAUUUUGUUUUUUCCCUUGAAUUUUGAAUUUAGGGUUCAUGUUGUUGUUUUCAGAUCCUGAAGAAAUGCACACAUUUCGAGUGGAUGGAUGAUUAUGUUGAUAGGAUUCAGUUCAAGGGCUACGUUGAUUCGAGCGGGCCCGCAACCUGGGAGCUCAAUUUGGGCGGGGUGCCGCAGAUGGAGAGCUCGGACAGAGGGGCGGGCAGAGUCGUGCCGAUGGCGAGCUAUGCGUGCAAUGCUACCCAUGCUGAACCGCACUUGGAGUCUCAACAGACCGAGGAACUGAAGAAGAUCAAGAAAAAUCAAAUGGAGAUGAUCAAUUUGCAGAAACAAGCAAAUAUCAUGUCAGGGGGGUUUUAUUUUGUGUCGUUGCUCUGUUUAUGUUUUGCUUGCUAUUCAUCCGUCAUUGGAGGGGGCAUUUAGGUCUGUCAGGGCAUAGGAUGCGAUAUAUGCGCCAUGCAAGUUCUUGUAACUAAAUCCAAGCAGAAAUAUUCAGUGUUAUGCUUUGUUCUUGUUCUUCAGUUAACAGAGUGCAUAACCCCCAAACUCAGAAAAACAAAUCUUGCUGCCGUAAAGAUGUUGGGCCGUGAGAAAAUAACCAGGCCCAAAUUGAGACAAGCCCACCCGCGUAGGGGCAGCAGCCCAGUUUUAUAGCAUAGAGGCACCCAUGUUUAUAAAAAAUGCUUUGACUACAACCUCAAAAUAAAAUUUUGCUUCGGCAAAUAAACCUUUAACAAACAUAUACUUCUUUACUUUUUUUCUUUAGCCAAAAUUUUCCGUCGAAUAAAUGUUGGGCCAUAUGUAUUAUACUUUUUUUGUUUUUUUACAUAUUUGUUGCUUGCCCACUAUUGUAUUGUGAUUAUUUUUAUGCAUGUCUAUGGUUCCAUGAAACCCAAAUUAUUUGUAUUAGUUGCAUGUCCAUGGUUGCACAAAAAUUUGCACCCUACACCUACUAGCUAGGGUGAUCCUAUUAGCCAGGGUCUAGAUACAUGCAUGCACACAUGCAGCACACCAAGAUAUGUUUUUUUUUUGCAAAAAAACUUGGGUACCCAUACACUUGCAUGUCCAUAGUGGAAUCUACCCCGUUAUAUUAGUAACACAUAUAUCAAUUAGAUAGAACAUAAAGCACGAUAUAUAUCAACUGACCAAUAUCAACUAGAUAGAAAAAAAUAGAUAGUACACAUCACAAUAUAAUAGCAUAAGUAGUAGCAUUACAUGAGAUAGAUAGAUAGAUAGUAGCAUAAACGGGUCCCAAGCACGACAUACAUAGUACCAUUACAACUUAUAUAGAAAGUUCAUAGUUCAACCCAACACAACAAUAGUAAAACGACACCCUAGAUAGAUAAAACACCACCGGCUUGCUCCAUGGCCAACUCCUUCACUCGUCGUCGUCGGUGGGGUACGGGAGGGUGUGCAUGCGCUCAUCGGCGGGGAAGGCGCUGUCAAAGUCGGUGAAGAUGUUGUGCAUGGUGAAUGCAAUGAACUCGCAUCCACACCAAAAAACACGGCCGAGGAGGUAGUAGGCGUCGAAGGGGUUGGUGAACCUCAUGAUGAGCCCGAUAGCAUGGCCAUUGUUACUGACCUCUUCGACUCGAAACAUGACCGGAGAGCCCCUCGGGAGGUGGCGGUAGCUUGAGGAGAGGAAGAACUCGGUCAGCCCCCUUGCCCCCAUCCACCUCGAGAUCACCCACACCCAUAGGGUGUUCUCCACCCGGACUCCGGCAGGGUAGAGCCUCUUGGGGAAGGUGGGCGGCACACGGUAGGUAGCCCCGGUGAACUACAUGGUGGCUCGAUCGGGUUUGAUUUGUGGAGAAGAAGGAAGAAGGAGGGCAGAUGGGAGAGGAGAGGAUCGAUGGGGUAUGGAUGAGGAGGGAGAGGAAGACAAUAGGUGUGGCUUAAAUAGCCCAAGUGCAACGUGGUUUUUGAUUUCUUUGAGUGGUUUCGCCGGGUGGAAUUAAUGAGCCCAUGAAGUGUGUACACGAGCGUGGGAAACCAAGUUGCCAUCAGACGCUGGAUCAAUAGCCAGGAUGCGACGCGUCUGUGCCAGCGGUCGCGGGUCAAGGGGUCACGCCUGCCCGUUCUUCUAUCCUGUGCAUCAAUUGCCAUGAUGCAAUGUCCCGCACGCGUCUGUGCCGUCGUGGGUCAAGGGGACACGCCUGCGCUUGCCGCCCUGUUUUCUUGCGUGUGCUCCCCGUGCAUGCAUGCAUGGCAAUGUAGCCUGCUGGCUAGGGCCUGUCUAGAGGAGGCAACGUUCGGUCCAAAGGUCUAACGUGUGGGCUUCUUUUACCACAGCCCAACGGCUAGCCCACUCGCCGCAGCGUAAAAAACAAGGGAAAAAACAAACGGCUACUGCAUGGCACUGCAUCCUCUAAAAACCACUAUAGCAAAUCAGAGCAUAGCCUGUGGAUCGCUGACGUGGCACUGCAUGCUGAUCCACACCGUUGAACGCGCAGUGAUCCAAUGAUCCAGAGAAGAGGGGGUGGGGGUUAUCCAGCGUUGCCGAAUGCAGCCAGUCACAGAGCAUCACGCGGAUCAGUGACGUGGCCCUAGCGCCUGAUCCAGACCGUUCACUAACAGAGAUCUAGCGGCUCGGAAGGAUGUGGGGUUUCAGAUGGGGUUAUGAGGGGUUUUGAGAGGGUUUUGAGGGCUAGGGUUGAGCAUAUAACUAAUUCAAAAAAAUCAUAAAAAUUUGAAACUUUCACCCAUCAUCAUAUUAUGUGAGUGAGUUGCUGGAAAAAAUAAGAAACUUGGUCUAUGGGUAUUUUGAUGAAAAACCCGUCACAAAACAUAGCUAUCAUGAACGAGGUUGCAUAGGAUUCGAGCUAGGGUCGAGCAUAACUAAUUCAAAAAAAAUCAUAAAAAUAUGAAACUUUCACCCAUCAUCAUAUUAUGUGAGUGAGUUGUUGGGAAAAAUAAGAAACUUGGUCUAUGUGUAUUUUCAUGAAAAACCCUUCACACAACAUAGCUAUCAUGAACGAGGUUGCAUGUGAUUCAAGCUAGGGUUUAGGGCUAAGCUUGUCAUAGUUUAUCCAAAUGAUCCUAUAUUUGGCAUGGACCCCAUAUUUGCACACUAGAUGUCAAGUUUUGAUUUUUGGACCAUUUAUAAAAGGUCGAAUUUUUUUGCUUAUGAAUGGGGUGUUUAGCCUAGCUUCAGAGCUCAUUGAGGCAAGUUUUUCACAUCAACAAUAAGUGCUCGGAUUGAUCGCUUAACAUGCAUAUGACUAAUAUUAAAACAUUGUACCAUCAAUACCACAUACUAAACAAAUUUGAAUUUGAAUUUUGAGUCAAACUUGAAUCUUGGGUCAAAUUUGAAAUUCGGCCAGAAUUUAAAUAGCAUUACACAAAUACCAGUUUACAAAAAUUGAGGCAAGUUUGUUAUUCUACAACACACAUCACCAUUACACAAGUUUGACAAAUGAAGUUUUCACUUCUUCUUCUUAGCACUCAAUUUUUUCUUCUUGGUACCACUUUUUGAUCGUACGACACCUAGUUCACUCAAACGCUUGAUUUUCAUAACUGGACUAGCUAGGACAGCUGGAGUUGGCACCACAACAUCUACAUGAGGCUCAGUUUGCACAACAACAACUCCAGUAGCUUCAAUUGGUAAUACAACUUGCAAAUAGGCUCAGUUUGCAUCACAUCUGCCACAACAGCUUCAGUUUGCAGAACAUCUUCAGUUUCAGUUUUAGUUUGCAGAACAUCUGCCACAACGGCUUCCGUUUGCACCACAUCAUCAUCCAAAUGUUGGUCAUGAUGCAUCACAAGAUCAUCCAACUCUUGCUCAUUUUGCACCGCAGCAUCAUCCAACUCUUGCUCAUUUUGCAUCACAACAUCAUCCAACUCUUGCUCAUUUUGCACCGCAGCAUCAUCCAACUCUGGUUCAUCACCAUAACUUAUCUUUUUUCUACAGCCAUUGUUAUUGCCUUUUUGAUUGCCCAGCAAUCUUCAACAACAAGGGGUUGACCUCGACGCUUCCUCCUGGAAAACAAAGCUUGUAAUUUGUCUAGUAAUUAAAUACAACAACCAAAUUAAAAAAACACAAACGUAAACAUACUUUGGCCUUUCAGGAGUGUAACGACAUUUUGGAGAUCCUUUUCGGUGCCCAAGUUCCUGGCAUAGUUUUAUCUAUUUUUGUUACCUUUUUGGGACCUUUUUGGCUUUGCAUCCUUCUUCCCCUUCCCCUUUUUACUACUCCCACCUUUCUCAAACCAUGCCUUGAAUCUACUCUCUUUAGGUCUGCCGGCUUUUCUUUUUGUUAGGGGAGGACACAUGGAAAAUUCAAUUUCCACUUCAGGCCACUGAGACUGAUCUGUAAGUGCUGGAAUUGGAGUUGCAUAUGCAGCCUUGAAUCUUGCCACUGAGUAGUAUCCAUGCAAUUAUGUGUGCAUGUUUAUCUUGGAUUGGGAGGCCAAGAAAAGUAUGGCAUGGUCACAAGGUUUCCCGGUGUGUUGCCACUCAAGGAAAGUGCAGUCAUGCAACUCAGUGUUAACAACAUGCCUCCUUCCAGUCUUGGUAUCUCUAACUUCAGCAACCCACAAUGAAGAUUUUUCAACUAACAAAUGUGUAAGAUUUCUGCUCCUGUUCACCACCUGUUGUACCACUACAGGAAGCUUAUCCCCUGGUAGACAAUCACCAAUGCUUCUUCUCGAUUCCCACAUGCGCAUGAUCAUGAUCUGGUCAACCAUGUCAUGCACAGGCAAGUUCUUUAACUAUUUUAUCUUGUUGUUAAAACUUUCUGCCAAGUUAUUGUUGAUAUGAUCACACUUGAUAACACUAUUAAAUCCUGACCUAUACCACAAUAGAGAAUGAUAGGUGUUCAACCAUGGACCAAACUCACUGCAUGCUGCUUUUAUCUUAUCAAGAUGAUAUGAAUGUGUUUAUUUGGUGUAAGAUCUUGCUGCUGGCCACAUUCUCCCAAAUUCUUCCCCUCUGAAUUUAUUGAUCAAAUUCAUCCACAUAUGGCCAAAGCACUCCCUCUGCUCACAAUGAGGAAAAUUAUUAUUCACUGCAUUUUCUAGCCCUUUACAUGCAUCUGUGUGUACUGCCGAAGGUGACACUAGCCCUAUGCAUCUUUUCAACUACAUCAUGAACCAUGUUCAUGAAACCUCUGUCUCUGACUGAAACAAACCAAUAGCAACAGGGAACAUCCAGUUGUGUCCAUCUAAAGCAUUGCAUGCUGCCAAUUGACCAUUCCAUUUGCCUUUCAAAAAAGAUGAGUCUAUGCUCAAAUAUGUACGGCACCCUGCUUUGAAGCCAUCUAUGCAAGGCUUUAAAGCCAUAAAGAACUUGGAGAAAAGAACUCUACCAUACUCUGUUACUUCAGUAUCUAUCUUCACAACACUGCCAGGUGACCUCUUUUCCACCUCUACUUUGAAGUUAUAAAGCAUCCUAAAAGUAUUUGCCCAAUCACCAUAUAAUUCUUUCAUUGCCCUCCGUUUUGCUUUCCACACUGUGGUAUACUUCACCUUAAUGGGGUACUGCUUUUCCAAGUCCACUUUUAGUUUCUUUGCUGUAGUGUUUGGUUUCUUGGGCUAAAUUGGAGUGAUCUUUUCUGCAACCCAAAGCUUUGAUGUCAUGCUUGAUACUCGCUGUGAACUUGUAAUACAAGUAUGUGGAUUUGGGAUUUGAUUAAACCUAAUGGUACUUCCAUCAGGUUGAAUUCUAGUAGAUAUGUACCACUUGCAAGGCCUGACGCUUCCAUCGAAACCUCUGCACUUUGCAUAAAAUUUCUUUCUAUCAGUCCACACAGUCUUGGCAUCAAAGUCAUGUUUGACUGCAUAAGUCUUGAAACACAUCCUAAACUCCUUCAUGCUUGGGAACAACUUGCCUACUUCAAUAACAUGAUUUUCUUUGUCAUACACACUUACAAAAGCUCAUCAUCAUGUGCAUCAUCUACAUCAUCUGCAACAUCUUUCAUCAGCUGUCCAUCCACAUCUUCACAAGCAUAUCUGUUAGCAUCAUUAGGCAAACUAGAUUCAUCCCUCUCUUCCUCAUCUUGAUCAUCUACUGGAUCUACUGGAAUGCCAAUUUUUUUGGCCAUCUCAGUGUCAGCCAUUGGUGCAAUGACCAAAUCAGUAGUGUCUUCUAAUUGUACUCAAUUCCAAUCAACACAAAGAACCCUUGCAGCACCAUCACAACCCUCUUCUACAUCUUGAUCAACCCCCCUAUUACUGUCACUUCACCCGUAAACAUGGGCGUUAUCUGUCUCUGUGAAGCCCAAUCAUCAUCUACCAUUUGUGAAGCCAACUUUGAGGGCACAUAUCCAACCUUAGAAUCUAAUUUCAGAUCAACGGGCUCUGCAUGAAAGGUAGUCUGUUUGCUUGCCCAACCAUCUUGCCCAUCGAUUUCAUCAACCAUCUCUUCACCAUUCUCAAUUCUCACAUACUCACCCUUCCAAUUAUCAAACCGCAACAAUGCUACCUCCUGCUCUGGACCCCAAAAAAUGCUCUCCCCAAUUUUCUCCACGACAUUUCUCACGACCCUAUCUUCCAUGCUAUGUAUUUCCUGAGGAUCAAUCUCUGCACAUUCAACCUCCCAUUUCACAAUUGUAUCUCUCUCUAUGUCUCGCAUGCUACCAUCAACUAGCUUCACCUUAGAAGGAAAGAAUUCGACAGUGAAUUCGAAUGUCCUACCCCUGUUUGUCAAUGGCAGGCAAUGUGAGCUAGCGGAAGCGGACGACGCACAAAUCGCAUAGGUUGGAAAGGAUGCACAUACCUAGUCGACCUUGUUGUCUCUGGCGGCUCCAUCAUAGUCAGCCCCCUGUCGGUGUCAAAACCGGCGGAUCUCGGGUAGGGGGUCCCGAACUUUGCGUCUAGGCGGAUGGUAACAGGCGACAAGGGACACGAUGUUUUUAACCAGGUUUGAGCCCUCUCGAUGGAGGUAAAACCCUACUCCUGCUUGAUUCAUAUUGAUGAUAUGGGUAGUACAAGAGUAGAUCUACCUCAAGAUCAGAGAGGCUAAACCCUAGAAGCUAGCCUAUGGUAUGAUUGUUGUUCGUCCUACGGACUAAAACCCUCCGGUUUAUAUAGGCACCGAAGAGGGUUAGGGUUACACAGAGUCGGUUACAAUGGUAGGAGAUCUGCAUAUUCGUAUUGCCAAGCUUGCUUUCCACACCAAGGAAAGUCCCAUCCGGACAUGGGACGAAGUCUUCAAUCUUGUAUCUUCAGGAGUCCGAUCAAAGGUGAUAGUUCGGCUAUCCGGACACCCCCUAAUCGAGGACUCCCUCAGUAGCCCCUGAACCAGGCUUCAAUGACGACGAGUCCGGCGCGCAUAUUGUCUUCGACAUUGCAAGGAGGGUUCCUCCUCCGAAUAUUUCAUAGAAGAUUUUGAACACAAGGAUAGUGUCCGGCUCUGCAAAAUAAGUUCCACAUACCACCGUAGAGAGAAUAAUAUUUACACAAAUUCAAUCUGCUGACGUAUUUUGUGGCGUGACAUCACACCACGGCCAAGCCUUCAUUCGAAUCGUUUUUACUGUCCCACCUCAGCGCGUUUAGCGAGGCGGUUUCCUUGGCACGUCUUGUCAAAGCAGAGAUCGUGUCCCCUUAUUCCGGGAUUCUCAUUAAUACGGGCGUGGGUAACCCAACUGCGCCAUUGAUGAUGGCGCUUGGGAGAUAAGCGAGUUUUAUCAGGAUGGUGGGGACGCAUAGCUUCGUCCAUCCAUAUAAGGGGAUAAGGAUCCACCUUUUUACCUACGCCUUCUUCCUCCUUUACUUAUCCAUUUCCGCGCACUCGAGCUCCAGCGCCCAAGUCCGCACAUCUCGCCUCGACCUUCCCCAGCCAUGUCCGGAGCGGGAGGCAAGUGGAUGGCCUCCUCCGUUACGGAGGGGCACAUCAAGAGGCUGCGGAAGGCCGAAUACUUGUCCAGCGACAUCACGCAUCGGCUCCCUGACAAGGGGCAUCUCAUCCCCACCCCCAGGCCCUAUGAGAGGGUGGUGUUCCUCACCCACUUCCUCCGCGGACUAGGUUUUCCACUUCACCCAUUUUUCGGGGGCUCAUGUUCUACUACGGCCUGGAUUUCCACGAUCUGGCCCUGAAUUUCGUCCUCAACAUCUCGGCGUUCAUCGUCGUGUGCGAGGCCUUCCUCUGCAUCCAGCCCCACUUCGGCUUAUGGCUGAAGACCUUCAAUGUCAAGCCGAAGGUAGUGGGCGGCCGCCAAGCGGAGUGCGGAGGUGCCAUGGUGGGCAAGAUGCCCAACGUCUUAUGGCUCGAGGGCUCCUUCGUGGAGACCAUAAAGGGGUGGCAAUCGGGGUGUUCUGCAUCACCGAGCCGCGUGACCCUAAAUGGGUAGCGGCCCCCGAAUUCCGAUCUGGCUUCCCCACACGGCUCACCUCUUGGAAAGAGACGGGCCUAACAUGGGGUAAUUCGGAAGAGCUAACCGGACUCCAAUCCCGCAUCAAAACCUUGGUGAACAAGAAGCUCAAGCUCGUCAACGUAGUCCAGGUCAUGCUCAUCCGCCGAAUCCUCCCGUGCCAACAACGGGCCUUCAGCUUGUAGGAGUUUGAUCCGGCACAGCACCAAAUCUUGAGCAGGCUCUUCGACACUACGUGCGAAGAUGCCUGGAAGGUGCUGUUCAAGGGCGCCGAGGCUCCCGCAUCCGCUACCGAAGAUCGCGGAUUCAGCUCGCAGCGUCAAGCCGGCAAGGUAAGCUAUUUUGCCUUUUACAGGACACUUUUCUUCCAUAGUUUGACUCUAUGCGGGAUCUAAACUCCCCUACCUUUGACAGGCCUGGCAAAAGACGUCUGGGCAGGUUGACUGUCCGGCUCCCUUGCUAGAAGACCCAGCGGACGCCCGAUUGAUGGGGCUGCUGGUUCUGGCACCUCACGUGGUGCCGGAGAAGAAGGCCAAGAAGAAGGCCACGGGAACCCGAAAGUUUCCCGGCGCCAGGUGUUAUCGGACUCAUCGUCCGAUGACUCCGAGGAGGACUCCUCCCGCGAAGACGAGGCGGAGGAAAAAGAGGCCUCUCCUCCAGCGGGGGAAGAGAAGAAAAGGAAGGCCGCACCAUCUGGGGAGGCCGGAGGGUCCAAGAAGGGGAGGACCCUUCCUUCGGACUACUCCACCAACACCGACGACGGUGAAGAGGAGUGGCCACCGAGGGCUAAGCCCCUGGCAAAAUCGUAAGUGUCCGGAUACCAGAAUAGCUCAUGGAGUUUUAGUUGUCGCACAGAAUCUCCUAACGCCGAAUAUAACCCUGCAGACUGCCCAAGGACGGGCUCGACACUUCAACGAGCGGCUCCCUGGCUUCGUCGGAUGUGAAUAGCACUUCACUUAUGGCCGUCUCCUCUCCUCGCGCUGCGGAUGACGCUGAGGUGGGGUCCCAAAAGGGGCCCAACCAGGAGGAGGGGGUCCCGGAGGCGCCGCAAGGCAACCUGUCGGACUCUGGGCACAAGGGGGAUCAAACCCCAAAGGGCUCUAAGUAUGGCCCUGGCCGGACUCCGCACCGGAACCUUCAGUGGUUCCGGAGUCCGGCAGGCGGCCCCUUUGUAAGAAGGGCGAGACUGCGACACCGGUGACCUCCGUCCAACCGGAGGCACCGGAUAAUUUGCUGGAGGCGCUUAACGGCGCCUCCAUCGACGAGGAGCACCGCACUGUUAUGAGUGUGGUGAUCCAGAAAGUUCAGUCCGCCAAGAGCGGGCUGACCGAAGCCUGUGCCAGCCUUCUAACAGGCUUUGAGGUAUGUAUUUAAGAUAUGUAAAAAUAUUACGGCAUAGACAGUAGCCCCUGAUGCUCAGUUUUGUGUUCGGAGAGAAAAGCCGAACUAAGGAUCUAAAAAGAUGUACGCAGGAGUCUAACAUAAGUAUGUCAAUAUGGGGAAUGCAGGCUGCGCAACUGACCUCUGCCGCACUGACUGCGGAGGUCAAUGCAUUGAAGUAGAGCCUCGAGCGGUCCGAGAACGUGCUCGGCCUUGCCAAAAAGCAGCUCGAGGACAAGGAAGGUAAGUAAUACCUUACGGAAAUAUAUAAAAGAUGUGGUUGCAAAAAAUGAUAGGAAUAACGUGAGAAUUGCAGGGGCCACGAACGAGGUGGCGACCCUGAAGGAGGCGUUGUCCAAGGCCGAAAGCAACGCGGCCGCGGAGUGCACCGAGCGAGAGAAGCAGGAGGCGCGGGUGGCGGAGGUGUGGCAAGAGCUCCAGGCUCUCGUGGAAAAACACGAGGGUUUGGAGCGUGACUCAAAGACUCGAGAGUCCGAGCUCGCCUCGGCUCUUGAGAGCGCCAAAGCCGCUAAGGCCGAAGCCCAGAAAGCCCUCCAGGAAAUUGAGGUAAUGAAGAAGAUAGCGGCGGGUAAGGCAUUCUUCAUGCAAAGCAAGCACGUGAAAGUGAAUUACUUAUUACUUACCCGAAUCCGGAGCUCUCCAGGAGCAUUCGCAGAUCUACCCUGCAGUGUGUCCGACGCUGCUGCAUUCUACCGGGCCGAGGAGGGGAGCUCGACGGAGAAGGUGUUCUGGUCUUAGUAUGCUGAGGCCGGACACCUGGUGCCCUUGAGCGACCAGGUGAAGAAGCUGGUCGAGCUCCAUAAGGUGGCCGAACAGGCCAUGAAGGGCCUCAUAGUUCGGCUGUGGCCUAAGGAAGCCAUGCCUAGGAGAUAUUUCGGGCUGGUGAGGCGGCUGGUGGACGCAUGUCCAUGGAUUGAAGUCGUCAAGUGCUCUGUCUGCAUCGAAGGUGCCCGUAGGGCCCUUGCCCAUGCUAAAGUGCAUUGGGGCAAGAUGGACACUGAGAAGCUUGUGAAGGAUGCUCCACCGCCGGGCAGGGAGUAUUGCAAGCCCAAAAUGUAUUAUGCGGGCGUCCUGAAGGGUGCCCGCCUUAUAGCGGGUGAAUGCUCCAAAGAUGUAAUUUCUGAGUAAACUUGCAUUUGUUAUCCUGUACGCUUGAAAACUUGUUCAUAUGCGCUAAGCAACACUUGUGAAUUUAAAAUAUUACCUUCUGUGCGGCCGUUUAUUAAAUUUGGGAGAUGGCGAGUCGUUGGCUUCUGCCCCCAUGCCACGAGUGCUAGGGUGUUUGGGAUAAACUUGAGCGCUCUUUUUCCCAUUCUUGGGUCCUUCGAGGGAGGCGCUCAAUGCAACGAACGAGGCAACCGGACUAUAAUGCUUGAACACUCUCACAUAGCCAUAGAAUUCUAUAAUUUUAAAUUUCGGCGAAGCCCCUAGUAUUCGGAAGACCGAGUUCGGGGCGGUAUCCACGCCUAGGCCGGACAAAGCCGACUCCUCGCUCUAUGCGGCAUAAGUCUUUAGGGACUCGAAAACCUCUCGAACAGCGAUCGGCUCUCGCCCUAUCAUGACGGUCAGUUUUAGCUUUCUCCACUGAGGUGCUCAGCCCAGCUCAACCGGGGCACAAUCGCAGUGGUUCUCCCAACGCUAUCUUAGCCGAUAUAAUGGAACGUAAGGUACCAAAACAUGGGAGCCGGGCAAACCCAACUAUUGACCCAAGACAUGAUUCAGAGCCGAUGCAUAUAAUGCUAUAAGUUCAGGGUGCCGCACUUGUGAAAGUGUUCGGACUUAUCACACCAUAUUUUGGGGUACUUAAGCCCCUGGUGUAUUCGGCCGUACCAAAGCGUACGGAUGCAACAUGUCAUAAGUGAACAUAUAUAGAUAAGAAAAAGGAAUGCAAUAAUAGGCAAAAGUUGUGCAUUGUUUAUUAAAAAAGCUGCGGUAAAAGUAGAACGAUACAAAUAGUGCGAUAAGCAAGGGACGGGACUAUUUGACAUGUCUCCCUCCAGGAGCGAGCUGUGGGAUGAUAUGUAAAACAAGUAUACUGCUCGUUAUAGAGACCACCUGGACACUCGACGUAGCUUUCUGCUUCCCUGGCUGUUGCUUCGUAUGUUCGGCGAUUCUACUGCCGAACAGGGCUUCUUGAUAAAGGAGUCCUGAAAAUAAGAAAAAAGAAUUGCACAAUCGGGAGCCCCUAGUGCGGUUGAGUCGCAUUCUGGGCCUGCCGUGGUCGUGCCCCUCCCCCUAUGCCCAUGGUAUUUCCACAGCGUAAUUAUGCACGCGUAGUAUUGGUUUCGCAAUUUCGCAAGGGUUGGGGUUGGGGCUGCAUUGCUACGCGUGCUCGGGAUGUGCCAGGCGGUCUUGUUGUAGGUUACUCCGGGCGCUUGACGGUGUCCGGACGUUUAAUAGCCGGACUCGAGAAUUGCCUAGAGAGGCUACUUUGCACUUCCACCGCGAGAGCCGCCGUAUGCUCCUCCGUUCUAAGAGAGCGUUUGGUGUUUCCGUUGAUCGUAAUGACUCCUCGAGGGCCUGGCAUCUUGAGCUUGAGGUAUGCGUAGUGCGGCACCGCAUUGAACUUUGCAAAUGCGGUUCGUCCGAGCAGUGCGUGAUAGCCGCUGCGGAAUGAGACUAUGUCGAAGAUUAACUCCUUGCUUCGGAAGUUAUCCGGGGGUCCGAAGACCACUUCAAGUGUAACUGAGCCUGUACAGUUGGCCUCUACACCUGGUAUGACGCCUUUAAAGGUCGUCUUUGUGGGUUUAAUCCUUGAGGGGUCUAUGCCCAUUUUGCGCACUAUAUCCUGAUAAAGCAGGUUCAGGCUGUUGCCGCCGUCCAUCAGGACUGUAGUGAGGUGAAAUCCGUCAAUGAUUGGGUCUAGAACCAAUGCGGCGAAUCCGCCAUGGCGGAUGCUAGUGGGGUGGUCCCUUCGAUCAAAAGUAAUCGGGCAGGAGGACCAGGAUUGAACUUUGGGGCGACUGGCUCCAUCGCAUAUACGUCCCUUAGUGCACGCUUCCGCUCCCUUUUGGGUAUGUGGGUUGCGUAUAUCAUGUUUACCGUCCGCAAUUGUAGGGGGAAGCCCUUUUGUCCUCUAUUGUUCGGCGGCCGGGGCUCCUCCUUGUCGUUGCUAUGCAGCCCCUUUUCAUUGUUUUCGGCAUUUAACUUGCCUGCCUUCUUGAACACCCAACAAUCCCUGUUGGUGUGGUUGGCUGGUUUUUCGGGGGUGCCGUGUAUCUGGCACGAGCGAUCGAGUAUUUGGUCCAAAUUGGACGGGUCCGGAGUAUUUCUUUUGAAUGGCUUUUUCCACUGACCGGGUUUGGAGCCUCUAAACCCGACAUUGACUGUCGUGUUCUCAGCAUUAUCGCCGUUGAUGCGGCGCUUGUGCUUGUUGCAACGUGACCUGCUGUUGCUAUCCUUGGUAUCCAAAUUACAAGGGCUCUUGGUCAUGUUGUUACUACGAGCUAGCCAGCUGUCCUCUCCUACGCAAAAGCAGGUCAUGAGUGUUGUGAGGGCUGCCAUGGAUUUCGGCUUUUCCUGUCCUAGGUGCCGGGCAAGCCACUCGUCGCGGAUGUUAUGUUUGAAGGCUGCAAGGGCCUCUACAUCCGGACAGUCAACGAUUUGAUUUUUCUUGGUUAGGAACCGUGUCUAGAAUUGUCUGGCCGAUUCCUCUGGCUGCUGAAUUAUGUGUCUUAGGUCAUCGGUGUCUGGUGGUCGCACAUAGGUGCCCUGGAAGUUGCUGAGGAAUGCGACUUCCAAGUCUUCCCAACAACCAAUUGACUCCGCUGGCAAGCUGUUAAGCCAAUACCGAGCUGGUCCUUUAAGCUUGAGUGGGAGGUAUUUGAUGGCGUGUAGAUCAUCACCGCGGGCCACGUGGAUAUGAAGAAGAUAGUCCUCGAUCCAGACCGCAGGAUCUGUUGUGCCAUCGUAUGAUUCAAUGUUUACGGGUUUGAAACCCUCAAGGAUUUGAUGAUCCAUCACUUCGUCUGUGAAGCAUAGUGUGUGUGCGCCGCCUCUGUAUUGGGCUAUAUCACGAUGCAGCUCAAAUGAGCUUUGUCUACUGUGCUCGGCCCGGCCGGAGUUGCCAUAUCCGGCGUGACGGUUAUCAUCACGUGUCAUGGGGCGCCCACGCGAUCCGUAGAUAGAUCUUGUUUGCCUUGCCUUGUCCUCCAAUAUAUCCCGCAGGUCUGGCGCAUUUCCCUGUGCCUUGGUACUUUUUGAGCGAUGCCGGGGUGCGGCUUGAGUGGAGGGCCGAGAGGCCUCUUUGUCGCGGCCGCGAGGUGGCCGGUCGGCCGCAUCAUGCGCUGGUGAUGUAGGUUUGGGUGCUUCCUCCUCUAAACGGGGUAGCAGCCUGCGUUUUGGGUAGCUCUUGGAGGGGCGUUCGAGUUCAUACUCUUCGGCCGCGAGGACUUCGGUCCAUCUGUCAGCUAGCAAGUCUUGGUCAGCUCUAAGCUGUUGCUACUUUUUCUUUAGGCUGCUUGCCGUGGCCAUAAGCCUGCAUUUGAAACGCUCCUAUUCGACAGGAUCCUCAGGCACGACAUAUUCGUGGUCGUCAAGGCUUGCCUCAUCUUCGGAGGGAGGCAUGUAAUAAUCUUCCUCUACCUCUCUGUCUGCCGCUCUCUCAUGAGGGCUGGCUUCUCCAUCCUCCUGCGCUGAAUCCUGCUGGAGGGGGUUGUCUUCGACACUGUCCAGGGUGUUAUUGUCUCCGGUGCCGGAAUCGCCAUUUUUACUGUGGCAGGAUUUAGAGCGGCGCCGCUGACGCCGGCGCUUAGGAUGUUUCUUGGAGGGGUCAUCCUCCGUUGUUCCAUCGCCAUUCCCAUCUUUUGGGAUGUCCACCAUGUAUAUGUCGUAUGACGAGGUGGCCUUCCAAUGCCUUGUAGGCGCUGGUUCUUGGUCGUCUCCUGCAUCGUCGUCCAUACCGUCGAUUUCUUCGGAGUCGAAGUCGAGCAUGUCGGUUAAAUCGUCGACAGUGGCUACGAAGUGGGUGGUGGGUGGGCUUUGAAUGUCUUUGCCGUCCGCAUGCCAACCUUCCUGACCAUAGUCCGGCCAGGGCUCUCCUGAUAAAGAGAGAGACUUUAGUGAAUUCAGUAUGUCACCAAAGGGCGAGUGCUGAAAGAUGUCCGCGACGGUGAAUUCCAUGACCGGCGCCCAAUCAGAUUCGAUUGGCAGGGGCGCGGAAGGUUCGGAGUCCGGAGAGGAGUCCGGCACCUUGGAGUUACGAGCCUUGCAAAGGAUAGGGAUGGUGUUCGGCUCAAUCGCCGUAGAGAUCGCAGCCCCCGAGGCGGUGUCCAGCCACCCGUCCUCGAUCGGCGUAGUCAGCUCCGAGCUAAGGGUCGGAGCGGACACUGGUGCAGCCUCCAGGGCACUAUUCGGCGGCAGAGCUAGAUCAUACCCAUCGUGACAGUGCGGCGCGCUUGGCUGUGGCUCGAACCCGUCGAAGAUCAAGUCUCCGCGGACGUCAGCCGUGUAGUUCAAACUUCCAAAUCUGACCUGAUGGCCAGGGGCGUAGCUUUCAAUCUGCUCCAGAUGGCCAAGCGAAUUGGCCCGCAGUGCAAAGACGCCAAAUACGAAGAUCUGUCCGGGGAGAAAAGCCUCACCCUGGACCGCAUCAUUGUUGAUGAUCGGAGGAGCCAUCGGGCCUAAAGAUGACGACACAGAGGAACUCUCAAUGAAAGCACCAAUGUCGGUGUCAAAACCGGCGGAUCUCAGGUAGGGGGUCCCGAACUGUGCGUCUAGGCGGAUGGUAACAGGAGACAAGGGACACGAUGUUUUUACCCAGGUUCGGGCCCUCUCGAUGGAGGUAAAACCCUACUCCUGCUUGAUUGAUAUUGAUGAUAUGAGUAGUACAAGAGUAGAUCUACCAUGAGAUCAGAGAGGCUAAACCCUAGAAGCUAGCCUAUGGUAUGAUUGUUGUUCGUCCUACGGACUAAAACCCUCCGGUUUAUAUAGGCACCGAAGAGGGUUAGGGUUACACAGAGUCGGUUACAAUGGUAGGAGAUCUACAUAUCCGUAUCGCCAAGCUUGCCUUCCAUGCCAAGGAAAGUCCCAUCCGGACACGGGACGAAGUCUUCAAUCUUGUAUCUUCAGGAGUCCGGCCAAAGGUGAUAGUUCGGCUAUCCGAACACCCCCUAAUCCAGGACUCCCUCACCCCCUCCCCCGUACCCACAUCUGGAUCAAAUCGACCAAAAAUAGAGGAAACAGAGGUGAUGCGGUGAGAUCUAACUCGAUAAGGAGGGGAACAGGACGGGGCAAGGGUUCACGAUUUACUCACCACAGCCGCCGCCAUCACCAAGAACGACAGCUCUGCCGCUGUUGUCACCGAGAAAAAAAGCCCCGGCGCCGUCGCUGGCUCACCGCUGAGAACGAAAUGGAGGGAGCAACAUGUCACUGCUCGCCUGAUUCAGACAGGCACGGAGCCACAUCUCACCUGAUGCACUGCCAAGUGGGGCCGUAACUAGAUGCUCUGUCAAGUGGGACCCACAUGUCUUAAACAUAAUCUCACUCCCGUUGACGACCAUUUUAAUCGCCCCAGUGGGCCUUGGCUAUUUGGGCUUCUGAAGCGUUGCACUACAACUAUUCUCGUCAACCACAUCGCACUCCUUCCAAUUCACGUGAAAUGUGUCACACAGGAGCUACUGACCCAUUCAAAAUUGACUUUGAAUAAGUCUAUGACAAGAUCAAGUGGUCUUUUCUCCAACAGGCCCUAAGGAUGAAAGGUUUCUCCGGCAAAUGGCGCCAGUGGAUCCAAAAUUUUGUAACUGGAGGUAGUGUGGCCAUCGAAGUCAAUGAUGAUGUAGGCCAUUACUUUUAGACAAAAGAAGGACUACGACAGGGUGACUCCAUGUCCCCAAUGUUAUUUAACACUGUUGCUGACAUGUUGACUAUUCUGAUUGACCGCGCCAAGCAGGAUGGCCAGAUUGCAGGAGUAGUGCCUCACCUUGUGGAUGGUGGGCUCUCUAUUUUGCAAUAUGCCGAUGACACAAUACUUCUUAUGGAACAUGACCUGGACAAGGCUCGAAAUCUGAAAUUGUUGCUUUCAGCGUUUGAGCAAAUGCCGGGUCUCAAAAUCAACUUCCAUAAAAGCUAAUUGUUCUGCUUUGAAGAAGCCGUUGAGGCGACUGCCGAGUAUGCUGACGUGUUUGGUUGCGCACAUGGCCAAUUCCCAAUUAAAUAUCUGGGAAUACCGGUUCAUUAUCGACGUCUCACUAUUGCGGAGUGGAAGCAUGUGGAGGAGCGUCUAGAGAAACGGUUGAGCAGUUGGAAAGGAAAGCUGCUCUCAGUUGGAGGAUGACUGGUUUUGAUUAACUCCGUACACAAAUAUGGUUCUCUAUAUGCUUUCUUUCUUCCAACUCCCAAAAGGGGUCUUGCAAAGACUAGACUAUUUUAGAUCCAGAUUCUUUUGGCAAGGAGAUGGUGAAAAGAAAAAAAUACAGGCUGGUCAAAUGGAGCGUGGUUUGUAGGCCAAAAGACCAAGGUGGCCUCGGAGUUCAUGACGUGCAGGUCAAGAAUGAGGCAUUGCUCAGUAAAUGGUUGUUCAAACUUCUUAUAGAGGAUGGUGUUUGGCAAACCAUGAUGCGCAACAAGUAUCUAGGCCAAAAGGCGAUGUCUCAGACAUAUUGGAAACCUGAUGACUCGCACUUUUGGGCUGGCCUAAUGGAGGCAAAGAAGCAUAUCUUUUGCUUUGGGUCUUUCGCGAUAAAGGACGGGUCGGAGAUUCAUUUCUAGGAAGACAUCUGGCUAGGCAGUGCCAGUCUCAGAGAACAGUAUUUAGCCUUAUAUAACAUUGCUCGCGAUAAGAAUAAUACUAUUGCGUACGUGCUCAGUUCAUCCCCGCCGAAUAUUUCGUUCGGGCGGGAUUUGACUGGCCGUGGACUUGUGUCAUGGCAUAAUCUUUUAUCCCGGCUGGAUUGGAUUAACUUGACACAAGGCCGGGAUGUGUUUCGCUGGAACCUUACUAUGUCAGGGUCGUUCACAGUAGCUCUAUGUACCAUGUGCUCACACAUUCUGAGGUACCAAUCAGUAAUAAUAAGAAAAUUUGGAAUUCCAAGAUUCCACUAAAAGUGAAUAUCUUCAUGUGGUAUCUUCGUUGGGACCUCGCAUGGCGCAACUGGUCAGGAAGUAAGAAGUGUUGUUUUUGUACUCAUAAAGAGACAAUCAAACACUUUUUUUUCAAUGCAAGUUUGCACGUUCUAUGUAGUCAGUCAUCCAACUAGCGUCAAAUUUGUACCCGCCCACAAGUGUUGCCAAUAUUUUUGGUCAUUGGUUGGAUGGUAUUCCAAAUAGGGCCAUUUGCAUUUCUGUCCCUAAGUCGAACCACCUACUCAGAUAUGCCCCUAAUUUCGAAGUCUGCUCAAAUUUGCCCCUCUGCCGUUAAGUGACCUUACAAAAAUGCCCUUCUGUUCCGUUUCCGUCCAGUCAAAGGGGUUUGACCGUCUAUGGGGCGUUUGUUGGACAUUUUUACCCCUGAAAAAAAUAAAACAGAAAUUAAAGAGAAGAAAGAGAGUGCUUACCUUUUGGCCCAAGUGCAAUGUGCACUUUCGGCCCAUGUGCAUACCGCCAGGCCCACCCAUCUCCCCCAGUCGUCAUCAUCGUCAGCUCAUCGACUGCACGCGUCGGCGCGCGCCACCGCCGCCCGCUGUUCGACAGCUGCCGCCGUAGUAGCUCGAGUAGGGCUACUUAGCGACGCCGGCAAGCCCUUAGACAACCCUAGCUAACUUUCCCUCCCUUCCCCCGCUUGCUCUCCUUCCCACAGCCGCAUCCAAGGACGGCCGUCGUCGUGACCGUCGCCAUUGCCGCGGCCAUUGUCCUCACAGACAGCUGAAAAGCUAUCCAGGAGACGCGCACGCCUCGACUUCGUCUACUCCUAGGAGCAACUCGAGCAGGACCUCGCAAACAUGACCGGAUCGACCGUCUUCCUCGUCUGCGGCCGCCAGAGCGCCGUCGUCAAUUCGCCGCCCUGUGCUGCUAAACCACAAAUCAAUGCCUCAGUCCUGUUCGUGGUGCUCCUAAGAUGUCGUCCAGCCCCCUAAACCACUGGAUCCAUGGCCGCCUUCUCGAGUCUGACGAGCACCGCCGUUGGCCGCCGCCUAGCUCAUCGCUGCGGUCGCGGGAGAAGGAGGGAGAGGGAGAAUGGAAUGGAGGGAGUGCUGCGGCGCGUGGGGAGCUGGUGCCGACGGCGCACAAUCCGGCCUGUCGGCGCUCGCCGGAGGUGAGACAGAGAGGUCGUGAGGUAGGGGAGAGAGGUGGGAGGGAUUUUUUAUAUAUCUAUUUUGUUUGGGGCCCACAUGUAAGUGUGUGAGAGAGAGGGUGAGAGGGAGAGUUUUUCCUUUUUAUUUUUUUCUGACUGGGUCCCACAUGUAAGUGGCACAUGGAGGCAAGGGCAAAAUGUCCAACAAACGCCCCGUAGACGGUCAAACCCCUUUGACCAGACGGAAACGGAACGGAAGGGCAUUUCUGUAAGGGCACCUAACGGCGGAGGGACAUUUUUGAGCAGGCUUUUGAAUUAGUGGCAAAUGUGAGUAGUCGGUUCGAGUUAGGGACACGGGAUGUAAAAGACCCUUCCAAAUAAGUUCAAAACACUGAUAAGGGUGGGAGCGUAUGCCUUAAUUUGGUCGCUUUGGCUAUGUAGAAAUUAUUUGGUUUUUAAUGAAAAAAUGCUUCUCCGUUACAAGUUAUCUUCCGGUGUACGCACUCGCUACGUAUGUGGUCUAUACUACAACAAUCGGAGUACCAGUUGUUGUUCAAGACGGUGUGUACGCGAUUGGAGCAGGUGGCUAUGGAGAUUUUUUCUGAACAUGGGUGGCAGCAUAACCUACGAAUUGAUCGACCACCUCCUUCGAUAUAGGCAUAGUGUCGAUCUAUAGGACUCUACUGUUGCCGAUUUAUCUGUUUUAUUUCAUGUUUUUUAUCAGACAUUUGGAUUUGGCUGUGUGUGUCCUAGUUAUGCAGAGGCCGGGUGUUACUCAUAAUGUUUUAUAUCCUCUGGAUGCUACAUUUUUAGAUAAUAAAAUUGCCCUUUAUCGAAAAAUCUCACCCUCAAUUUUAAAAAAGAAAUGUCCAAAAGUCUAGUUUUGGUGCUCAAUCCCUACUAAAAUUUCACGAGGGUGAAGGUUGGGAUGACGUGAGGAGCUAUACCAACGAGGGUCGGCCGGGGUCAGGGGGCUUAGAGGGAUGGCCUCGGGCGGCGACAAGCCUUUUGUGUGUAGAGGAGCUUCGAGCCACUCAUUAUCUGGCCAUGCCUUCACACCUGCCGUGUUACACCGACUUCGCCGCACCGCCACCAUCUACGGUUUCACUCACGCCGUCUGCAUCAUCCUCCCAUGCCAUCACAGAUAUUCCCUCCUGUUGGUCCCUGGCAGUGUCAGCUAACCUCGUUGGCCUCCCCCAUGCCACCCCGCCUUUCAUUGUAGCCUUCCAUGAUGCAUAGUGCUUCCCCCGUGUUGCCCGCCUCGUCCAAACUACCACGUCUCCUUGUUGUUGCUCCGCAAACUAUGCCUCACCUCCCAUGCGCUGCUCACACUCUCCCACUUAUGCAACCGGAGCAAGCCACCAUGCCGAAGAUGAUGUCGAGGUGGUUGUCGUCGCAAAGGAGAAGGGAAGAAAAAAUAAUAAUAGUUGAUCCAUUGACGAGUGGCUUCCACUUGUCAUUGUCCAUGUAGAAGAAAAUGUAGUGGAGGUAUCAACAGUCUACUUGAGAAGAGAUUCAAAAGUUGUUCUCCCUACUAUAGGGGGUCACCUUGCAUAUAGGGGUGAAUUUUUUGGUUGUCUCCUAUAGAUACUCUUAUAGGAAUCAUCAAAUGUGCAACAUACCAGUAAUAGCGAGUGGAACUUGUGGAGAGAACAUUUUAGAGGAAUAGCUAAGCACUCAUGCGCUGUUAUGGCACUACAAACGGCGUUACUAGGAUCAACCUAUGGCUAUUUCAUUUUACUGCCCGUGUGGAACACGGUUUCUGACUAUGUCAUGGCAAACAAUGUUAUUCUCCUUUCUUUGUGACUACAAGCAAGUUACUCUCUUCAUGCCACAUAUCUAUGCCCAAAAUCUACCUCUAGCCUUACUAAAAAUUGUGUUGCCCAGCUGGUCUCUAUGUCACUUAGUUUUGUAUGUCCCCAUCUUCUCUAACUCUGAAGGGCCACGCUAAAAAUCUCACUUCUCUAUGGAUAAUUAGACAUGGACUAUAGAAUCAUUUUCAGUUAUAUAAUCAUUCAACAAUGGAUGCAACUACCGGUUUCUCCUUCAGAUUUGCACCAUUCGAUGCCAACAACUUUGGUCCAGCUCUCCUAAUUUCUAGGCUUUUAACCAUAUGGCGACAACCAUAUAAUAAAAAAUUCUAGGAGCAAAUAUAGUUCAACUACUUAAAAUAAGAGAUUUGCAUCAUAACUAGAUAAUCAUUGGACACUUCAAUAACAUGACUAACAUUGAUACAUAGAAGUUACAACCAAUGAUUUUAUUUCUUGUAUCUUCUAAUAACCAUUUUUAAGCUCAAUAAGAUUGCACAAUGAUGCAUGUAAAGCGUGCUCUAGUGCCAUCUUGCGUGGGCUAGUGCUUCAUAAAUACCUUUCCCUUCGAGAACUAAAACUGAAGCAUAAUUAGCUAUCACAACAACCGCAUGCAUAUAAAAAAGGUAUGUGACUUUAAAUAAGAGAUUUGCAUUGUAACUAGAUAAUCAUUGGACACUUCAAUAACACGACUAGCAUUGAUACAUAGAAGUUACAACCAAUGAUUUUAUUUCUUGCAUCUUCUAAUAACUAUUUUUAAGCUCAAUAAGAUUUCACAAUGAAGCAUCUAAAGCGUGCUCUAGUACCAUCUUGCGUGGGCUAGUGCUUUAUAAAUACCUUUCCCUUCGAGAUUUAAAACUGAAGCAUAAUUAGCUGUCACAACAACCGCAUGCAUAUAAAAAGGUAUGUGUUUCAAUCGAUAUAAUGAAAAAGAUAGAUCAUGUUUAUGUGUAGCAGUGCAUCUUGGGGCAAAAAUGUGCAGCGGCAUGCCAAACCCUUGCAUUCUUGAAUCAAGGAGGAAGCACUUCAUGUUUGAUUUUCACCUACCACUAGUAUCUCUUCUCAACUUGUCAUUCAUCGCGUUCAUAGUUGUUGGUGCUAUCUCCAACUUCUGUGUCAUGUUAUCUAGAGAGGAGGAAAUCGAUGAGAAAACCUAGAGAGGAAAAGGUACUGGAAGUGAGACUAGCGAUAACCUGAAGAGUACUAGGAGGAGGUGAUGCGGCAAUUGUGUUUGCCAUCUAACGUCGUAGUGGAAGGCUCCAAUUUCUUGUUGUAAGGUUGCAAUUGUAUAUAAAUAAUUUGCCCACGUGCAACCCCAUGUGGACUACAUGAUCAUUGGAAAGAAUUGUUCAGACCAAAACAGGGCAACUGUUUCUUUCUUACAUAUUUUCCCCAGUAUAACCUAUGUUGUUUUUGUGUCGUCAUGCAAGAGCUAUCACAAUUUGGUUGAAAGGCAUGGGGUCGGUGGCACGAGCAUCCUUCGGUAAUCAUGUGUGCCAUUUGUGUAGAACUCAAAAGAGGAGUAGGAGGCUGAGUAGUAAUGGAGAAGAAGUGAGGAAAGCGGAAGGAACAACUUCUUGUUGUUGUUGACGCUACUGAUUCAGCUCCUGAUAUUUUUGGUUUUGAGUGUGUUGAGCAUGGGAACAUAUAUGUUCCCCUCUAAGGUGCCGAUGUGAUUUGGAGACGGGUAAUUUUGAGCCAAAAUCAUGUUGGGCAUAAACCACAGUAGGACGUGUCCAGAGUGUGUGUGCGCGCGAGCUGGGCACGUGGGGUGUGGUCCAUGGCCGCGUCGAGUCAUAGUCUGGGCAUAGUCUGACUUAUGUACGGGCAUAGUCCGACUUGUGUACAGGUUGUGUGCGUGCGUGUGAGUGCUGGUGGAGCCGGGAACUGGUUCGUGGCAGUGCCGAGUCCGUAGGAGUGCGUGUGUGUGUGUUGGCGAAAGUGAUGGGUGAGCAUGGUGAUCCGUUGGAGUGCAGCAGCGUGGGCGCGUAGGAGCGCGUCCUGGGCGCAGUGCAUGCGGAUCGAGAGAGAGAGAGAGAGAGAGAGAGAGAGAGAGAGAGAGAGCUAGUUAGGGUUGUCCCAAGAAAUCAGACUUAAAGGCCGGUCUGAAAUUUUACUCAUGCUUCAACUAUGAUGCUCUUAUCAGUACAUCAUAUGCUUGAUAGAAUGCUUGACAAGUAGAUAACUAUAACCUGCCAGCCACAUGUUUUCUAGGAUGCAUCGCAUAGAUGUGUAAUCUUAAAAUAUGCGCCGAGGAUAUUUCCAUUAUCAUGCAAGACUAGAUUGUAUGGAUAGAACUAAUCUAAGAUUUGUUUGUUUUAGACCAUCCAUAUAUCAAAUGUUGAAUAUCUCAUACAAUAUAUCUGAAGGUCACAGUAAAGCUUCUUUUUUUUUAGAUUUUUUUAUACUGCGGAUAUUUCAGCUGACAUAUAUUCACAAAUAGAAACCUUUGAUCCGUGUUGUUUGAACCUUGUUUUAGUUACAAUUCUGUUUUGAUUAAUACUUUCUCUACGCAAGUUUGUUAUUUCUGUACACAAGUUUGUUAACUAAUUGUUGCAUUCCAUUUAUUUAUUGUUACUACAGUCUCUAAGGGAGAAGUCUGAUUACUGAUAUGAUUCCUUGCAGUGAACAAGCCUCCUCACCUAUUAUCAUGAUCAGUGAGAUUGGAAUAAAUUUACGGUUGAUGAUGGUCAUGAAACUCAGCCAAAAUUUGUCUACAAGUCAUAUUCUACAAGAAAUAUUUCUGCAACCAAAUUAUUUGCUAAUUCCUUUUGCACUAUCAAUGUGGCUGCAGUUACUUGGCUAUAGAUCAAUUGUAAAUUUAUACUUUAGAUGAACAUCUACACUGAAUUCGUUUAUGAGAAGAGAAGACGCAAUUCCGAGUUUGUUUGAGAGGUAUAUGUUCUUUUUUAACCUUAAUUCAACUAAGCCAUCAUUUUCCUUCAUUUUUAUGUAAUGAUUUUGCUGCUCAAUUGAUGCUUCAAAGGUGUAUCUUUCAAUUAUGUAGAAAAUAUUUGUGCUUGUAAUCAUUCUCACUUCGACUAACAACAUUCAUCAGUACUUACCAAGCAUCAAUAUUAAAUAUCCAACUCUAUAUUAGUGCUAGAAAAAUAGGCGGUACAAACUUCUAUGUCUAUAUAUUAGGGGAUUUUGGGAGAAUGGUUAUACAAUGAAAACAUUUGUGCCUCGGUUUCAUUGAUUGUACAAUGAAAUAAUCCAUGUUCCUAUCUCAGAGCAUCUGAUUGCNNNNNNNNNNNNNNNNNNNNNNNNNNNNNNNNNNNNNNNNNNNNNNNNNNNNNNNNNNNNNNNNNNNNNNNNNNNNNNNNNNNNNNNNNNNNNNNNNNNNNNNNNNNNNNNNNNNNNNNNNNNNNNNNNNNNNNNNNNNNNNNNNNNNNNNNNNNNNNNNNNNNNNNNNNNNNNNNNNNNNNNNNNNNNNNNNNNNNNNNNNNNNNNNNNNNNNNNNNNNNNNNNNNNNNNNNNNNNNNNNNNNNNNNNNNNNNNNNNNNNNNNNNNNNNNNNNNNNNNNNNNNNNNNNNNNNNNNNNNNNNNNNNNNNNNNNNNNNNNNNNNNNNNNNNNNNNNNNNNNNNNNNNNNNNNNNNNNNNNNNNNNNNNNNNNNNNNNNNNNNNNNNNNNNNNNNNNNNNNNNNNNUAUAUAUAUAUAUAUGCAUUUUCUGCAUUUACCUACUAACCUCUCUUUGUAAUUAUUUUGGAUUAAAUCAUUCUAGCUUUUUAGAAAGUGACAAAGAAUGGUUCUGACUUUUAUGGGUAGUUAACCAAAUUCUGAUUCUUGGUUGAAAGCCCCUUGUCAUCAUAGUUAAUUCGAAGGCAGCUUCAAAUUAAUUUUCAUAUUGAGGGAGUCAUCUUUGGAUGCAAUAGUUCUACUUUUCAUAAAGAACCAUAUUAUAUUUGUUUUUUUUUGUAUAAGUAGCAAAUCUUUCAAACAUAUGAUGUGAUUAGAAUUAUGACAACAUUGGUGUUCAUCACUAUUCUUUUUGGACUUGAAUAGAUCUAUGUCUAAAUUACAGAUAAUGUGUACGAGCAAAUUACUAUAGUUUGAAUUUCACGUCUUUCUUGGAUCCGUGGCGAAGCAUAGUCACCUUACUACUAUGUUGCUUCCUACAUGUCUUCUCAUGGCCUUAUUAAAGAUCUCCAUUUCUAUGGUUUUAAAUACAAGAUGUCAUUUUUUAACACAUUCCGUAUAACUUUUUCUCCUAUACGGUUAUAAUUUUAAAUUCAAGCCCACCCAACACAUAAAGUUUCUAUCUUUUUAUUUUCUAUACACGAAGUAGUUGGCGCUGCGCUGAUGUUGAUGAAUGACACCCCAUCCAGAAGUGACCACGUGGAAGAGAUCAAGAACAUCAACAACCUCUUGUAGUGUUCCUCCUUCUCAUCGCCACUGCUGCCACCACCAACAACAAUUAUGAUGACCAUCUCACAAGACGGCUACUAGUGCGCCGGAGCCUUGAGAAGGCAAUGCCACUCGAGAUCAAGAUAGAUUGAGAGAGUGAGGGAGAGAGACGGGGAGAGAUCAGGGGAGGGAGAGAGGAAGGGAAGAGAGAUCUUGCAGGUACACGUUGGUAAGAUAACCAUAUUCUGAAAUAUAAAUGGGAUUUGGUGGCAAGUCACCAUUUUGUUUGUUCGCAAUCUGUCAGACAACUUUCAUGUCGAAUGUGUCGUAGAGAUGUUCUUCGAUAAAUAUGCGAUUAGCUCUUGAUAUUUUAGUAUGGUUGUAAAUUUAUCAAUUCAUGAAUCACUUUGAUAAGCAUUUUUUGCUAGGACAGGACAAAAGAAAGAAAAGGAGAGCACUUUAACGAUAAAAAAGAAGUCACCAAUGCAGUCUGUUGCAACACACGUGCAUUCUACUAGUUUUCUUUAGCAUUUGGGAGUAAAAAAUGGUUUUCAGCAACAGUCCUGUCCUAUUUUCUGCAAAAAGGUUUUUGGUGCACCCCAACAAAAAGGCUCUAGGUGCUGCAAUAUACGAUGCAACCGCGGAUGCCGUAAACCACCCUCCCCGGGUAGACCACCUACAAUCCUGACAGGUGGACCCAUGCGAUGUAUGCAGAAUAGAUGGAAAUACGGCGCCACGCAACACAGUUAACGUCUGCGGACCACAAAUGCGCCAUAUUUGCAUGUCAAGGUUUUGUAUCACUUCAAUGUGUACCGCAAGUUAUAACAGUAAAUCGAUUGUUUGCGCCAAGUUCAAGCACGGCCGGUGUAAUGUACUCGUGUAGGGGGCUUCCCCCAGUUUUGUAACUCCCUUUUGUAAUUACAACUCUCUCUUAAUUGGAAAAAAAAUACAACUCUCUCUUUUCCAAUGUUAAUGAAAAUGACAAGCAACGAUUGUUGCUUCUUGGAAAACAAGUAUAUAACCCCGAAGGAAUUCUUAGUAUGCAGCUUCGCUUUGGUUGAUGAUCUUCAUCUUAAUUUCUUGAACGCGAUUGUUGGAGAGGAAGGUGGAGGAAGCAGCGGUUGACAUGAAAUAUGAAAUUGAAAAGAAGCACCGGUGAGGAAGCCAUGCCCUUCCGCCCCUUCUCAUGAUCCUUUCUCAUACCAUCGCCUCUGUCAAAACUCUCGCCUACAAAGUUGCUGUUGUCCAUGCAGGCAAAGAGCAGUGGGGCUAGAACUGUCGAAGUUGACCUGCGGCAGCGGAGUGCAUGUUGCCAGCACGUCCUCUUCCUGUCCCGUCAGCCGCUACAGAUCAAGUCUGGCGGUGUGGUGACGGAGAAUGAAGACGAACAGAGGGUUUUGUAACGGAACGCAUGGAGGUUGAGGGAGGGCCGGAGGCCGGCGGCGUGGUGGAGAAUUAGGGUAGGCCGGCUGAGCCGCUGAGGGAAUGAGAUUUUAUAGGACCGAGAACCAAUGUUGGAUCGAUACCUCGGACAGUAUCUACGCCGUCCAACCAGCUAGACAGAUCCGACAGUUUCCUAUUUAUACGGUCGUUCCUUCCUCCGUCAUCGCAAACCAGCACACAGAAACACUCUCUUCCCACAGACAAGCCUGCUUCGGCGGCUCUGAUGAUCUCGUGUUCUUCCACCCACCAACCCUAAUUCCGCAGCGGCCAAACCCAAAGGAGAUGGAGGCUGGCGGCGCUAGCACGACUACUACGAGGAAGAGGAAAGCAGCCGCGCUCGAGGGCCAUCCGGCGCCGGCGGCAGCGGCGGCCGAUCCCGGAAUGGGCGAAGGCGACGGAGGCAGAUCGGGCGAAGACGGACGAGAUCUCGACCGGCUCAGCAGCCUCCCCGACGCGAUCCUCGGUGAGAUAAUCUCCCUUCUCCCCACCCAGCAAGGUGCUCGCACCAUGAUCCUCGCGUCCCGGUGGCGCCACCUCUGGCGCUCCGCGCCUCUGAACUUCGACUGCCGUCACCUCGCCUGUCCAUGGCCUGGACUCCCUGCUCUCAUGCUGCGCAUCAUCUCCGCCCACCAAGGCCCCGGCCGCCGCUUCUCCACACCAGAGGUGUUGUACACCAUAAACGAUAUAGAUGCCGUGGAGGGCUGUCUCCUGUCCCCCGCUCUGGCUAGGCUCCAGGAGCUUAAGCUCAACAGCUGGAGAGGGCAGCGGCUGCCGGAAUUAGUUUUCCGCUUCUCGGACACCCUCGUUGUUUUCCGCAUUGAACGGUGCAGGCUCCCGGACGCCACCGUCCAAAGAUUUCAUUUCCCUCGGCUUCAGCGGCUCGAAAUUGUUCAUAGCAGCACCUCGGAGUGCUCACUACACAGCAUGAUUGCCGGCUGCCCUUCUCUGGAGUGCUUGCUAAUUUCUCGGUGCGGUGGACCUCGUUGCCUCCGGAUCAAUUCACUUGUCCUCAGAAGCCUUACAGUCAGAAAUUAUUCACUGGGUGGAGCACCCAUAUUAGAGGAAAUCGUCAUCGAGAGUGCCCCUUGCCUUGAAAGACUAUUCCAUCUUAAUCAGAAGCAGGAUUUGCGUGUGUCAGUGCUCUUCGCGCCUAAGUUGGAGACUUUAGGCUGUACCAACUCCACCAGGCUCGUCUUUGGUUCUACAGAUAUUCAGGUAACUCCAGCCUUCUUCAUCCUUACCGUCGAGACUUCUAAUAAUUUCCAUCUCUAUGUGCAAUGUGCACACACGUUUUCAGCGUAUAAUCUGCACAUGUAUAUUGUCUAAUGUUGGCUUUCAUCUUUGAUGAAGGGAUCGCGCACAAUCAAGUGUUUGGCUCUCAGUAUGCCCACUCUUAGUUUGGCCAUGGUUAUUGGGUUGAUAAGAAGGUUUCCGUGCUUGGAGAAGUUGUACAUUCAGGUGAAUUAAUUGUUCACUGACAAUAAUACCUUGUGUUUGGCUGCUCAUUUGAUCUACUUGUUUUGCUGAAGUUGUUGUUUGCUGAUGUUCUUUCCAGCGCAACACGUCAAGGAAGAACAAUAAUGCGUGGCGUCAUAAAUACCGCGAUCUUCUGAAGAGUCUUGACAUCAUUCUGAAAAUUAUGGUGUUGAAUUGUUAUUCCGGCAGAAAACCUGACGUUGAUUUUGUCACAUUCUUUGCCCUCAACGCUAAACAGCUAGAGUCGAUGACACUUGUGGUCCAGACCGACGAUGAGGACUUCUUAGCAAAACAGCAUCACAAGCUUCAGCUGGAGAAGAGGGCUUCAAGUGGUGCUCGGUUUCAUUUCACAACGGAGCGACGCUAUGAAUUUGGAUACAAAUUAUCCUUUUGAGUGGUAGUUUUGAAAAUACUUCGUGUUUGGUCCAGUGAGAAGUUACUCUAUCCAACCAGCAAACCUUAUUUUAUGUUUUGUCC